AUUGAACGCUGGCGGCAGGCUUAACACAUGCAAGUCGAGCGGGGUGAUGGUGCUUGCACUAUCACUUAGCGGCGGACGGGUGAGUAAUGCUUAGGAAUCUGCCUACUAGUGGGGGACAACACUCCGAAAGGGAUGCUAAUACCGCAUACGCCCUACGGGGGAAAGCAGGGGAUCUUCGGACCUGGCGCUACUAGAUGAGCCUAAGUCGGAUUAGCUAGUUGGGGGGGUAAAGGCGUAGCAAGGCGACGAUCUGUAGCGGGUCUGAGAGGAUGAUCCGCCACACUGGGACUGAGACACGGCCCAGAAUCCUACGGGAGGCAGCAGUGGGGAAUAUUGGACAAUGGGCGGAAGCCUGAUCCAGCCAUGCCGCGUGUGUGAAGAAGGCCUUUUGGUUGUAAAGCACUUUAAGCGAGGAGGAGGCUACUAGUAUUAAUACUACUGGAUAGUGGACGUUACUCGCAGAAUAAGCACCGGCUAACUCUGUGCCAGCCGCCGCCGUAA
rnacentral:rRNA from 1 species